UCGAGGCAAAACCAAUCUCGAUUGAAAAUCUGAAACAAAACCCUCACAAAACCCUAAAAACUCUUUCUUUCUGAUUUUCCUAUACACAUAACAAUGGCGUUGCGAUCUGGAUCUCUAUCUCGCUCCUUCAUCUCCACGGCCAGGUCUUCCCUUCGUCCGGCGGCUCCUUCUCCCCUUCCCCGCCUCCGUCCUCCGCCACUCGCCACCCCUCGCACUCAGCCCCGCCUCUUUUCCAUGCCUGCUACCUCUUCCAGGAAUUUGGGGCAAUUGGGUUGCGUGCAAUCACUUUUGCCAUUGCAUAGCACGAUGGCUGUAGCGUGUCUCACAUCUCACCUUGUCGUCAGCGCACGAGCUUGUAACGAGCUGUCCAAUGGUACCUUCCGUCGUUCUUGUCAAGAUCGCUAAUAUUCUCUUUGGAAUGGAAAAGAUGGGUGAUGCGCAAGGACAUCUAUCAUCCAAUGGGGAGAGACGAAUGCUGCUUUCUAUUUGUGAUCCUGAUUCCUGAGUUACUUGAGCAAGCUGUUGGAUUUUCAUGGCUGCUCGUGCCAAUAAUUACAGGGAGUAUUAUCUGGGAAGUAAUGGUUGUAAGAAUCUUUGACGAGGCUUUCAUCUGUUAUGUUUUUUGACUCCAGACCAAAGAACCUGUUUUUUAUAUUCAAACUGUGACAUUGUUCGAGAUUAGUUAUUGAUUCUUAUUGUAUCUGGUUUUUGGUUAAUUGUUGUACGUUCAUCGGGUUUCUUUCAAGUAUCUGGGGGGAUGAUAUUAUUGUUGUUA